AGUUGAGCGGAGAUAUAUGGAGCUUGCUUUAUAUAACUUAGCAGCGAACGGGUGAGUAACACGUAGAUAAUCUAUCCUAUACUGGGGGAUAGCCCGAUGAAAGUUGGAUUAAUACCGCAUAUAGCUAUAUAGUUGCAUGAUUAUGUAGUGAAAGAUUUAUUGGUAUAGGAGGAGUCUGCGGCACAUUAGCUAGUAGGUGAGGUAAAGGCUUACCUAGGCGACGAUGUGUAGCCGGUCUGAGAGGAUGAACGGCCACAAUGGAACUGAGACACGGUCCAUACUCCUACGGGAGGCAGCAGUGGGGAAUAUUGCACAAUGGGGGAAACCUUGAUGCAGCAACGCCGCGUGAGUGAGGAAGGUUUUCGGAUUGUAAAGCUCUGUUAGCAGGGAAGAGGAAGGACGGUACCUGCAGAGGAAGCCACGGCUAACUACGUGCCAGCAGCCGCGGUAAUACGUAGGUGGCAAGCGUUGUUCGGAAUAACUGGGCGUAAAGGAUGCGUAGGCGGUUAAACAAGUUAUAUGUUAAAUAUAUAGGCUUAACCUGUAGAAAGCAUAUAAAACUGUUUAACUAGAGUGCAGGAGAGGUAAGUGGAAUUCCUAGUGUAGCGGUGAAAUGCGUAGAGAUUAGGAAGAACACCAGUGGCGAAGGCGACUUACUGGACUGUAACUGACGCUGAGGCAUGAGAGCAUGGGGAGCAAACAGGAUUAGAUACCCUGGUAGUCCAUGCUGUAGACGAUGGGUACUAGGUGUGGGUUGUGAAUAACAAUUCGUGCCGUCGCAAACGCAA
rnacentral:rRNA from 1 species